GACGAACCGUGCGAACGUUAUUCGGAAUCACUGGGCUUAAAGGGCGCGUAGGCGGGCUGUCAAGUCUGCGGUGAAAGCCUCCAGCUUAACUGGAGAAGUGCCGUGGAUACUGGUGGUCUCGAGGAGGGUAGGGGCAUCUGGAACGUUGGGUGGAGCGGUGAAAUGCGUUGAUAUCCAACGGAACUCCGGUGGCGAAGGCGAGGUGCUGGACCCUUUCUGACGCUGAGGCGCGAAAGCCAGGGGAGCGAACGGG
rnacentral:rRNA from 1 species